rnacentral:misc_RNA from 1 species
ACAAACCCAAAAGAUACAAAACCGACCGUGCGGGUGAUGCGUUUCUUUGCCGUUUUACAAAAUUUCUUAUUUGCACUUGAAAAUCCAAAUAAAUUAGCCAGAGUGCCGCAGUGAAGUGAGAGUGAGCAAAGAGUGGCCAAAAAUUCAAACAUAAAUAUUGUCAUCAGCAUCAGCAGCUAAGCGGUGUGAUUUUUUUUGCAACGAAUUUUCAGUGCUCAUCCGUUGUCGGAAAAAAUAAUGCAAUAGAAAGGCAACCACAAACGAAGGCAUUCCAAAGAUAUACAUCGCAAGUAAAACAAGUGAAAAAGUGAAAUAUUAUAACUCAAAGAUACACACACAAAAAUACCGACAGAACUAAAGGAGGCCCGCAUCAAAAGUCCUUUCUCUUUGGAGUGCAGCCGCCGAAGGAAAAUAAGUACAGGAUAAAUACAAACACAUACAUACACACACGCACACUCGUCCAACUUUCAAUAUGGCGGAUGUCAUGGAGAAAAGCUCAGUGCUGGAUGCUGUGCCAGCUCUAGGAGAGUCCCACCUGCAACAGGAAGCACCACCGCAGCUACCGCAACCACAACAACAACAGCAACAACCACCACAACAACAACAGCAACCACCAGCAUCUGCACCAGCACCACCACAACAACAACAGAAGCCAGCACCAGCGAGGGCUAAUCAGGAUCAAAAAGAAGGCGACAAUGACAGCGGUGUGGAUGAAUCGACUCAGGAGAAGGAUCGCAACGGACCCAACUCGCCCAGCUCGCCGGUGAAAACUCCCACAUCGACCUCAUCGAAGCCGGACAAGUCGGGCACCUCGCGUCCUCCGAGUGCCACGCCCUCGAACAAAUCCGCUCCCAAGUCGCGCAGCGCCUCCAAGAAUCGCUUGCUCCUCAAGACACCAGAGCCCGAGCCAGUCAAGAAAGUUCCAAUGAACAAGGUACAAGUUGGACAUGCACCUUCGCCCAAUCUGAAGGCUGUACGCUCCAAAAUUGGAUCGUUGGAUAAUGCCACCUACAAGCCAGGUGGUGGCCAUGUGAAAAUCGAGUCCAAGAAGCUGGACAUUAAGGCAGCACCACGCAUCGAGGCCAAGAACGACAAGUAUGCGCCCAAGGGCGGUGAGAAGAAGAUAGUUACAACAAAGUUGCAGUGGAAUGCGAAGUCGAAAAUCGGUUCGCUGGAGAAUGCCGCCCACAAGCCAGGGGGCGGGGACAAGAAGAUCGAGACCCUGAAGAUGGACUUUAAGGACAAGGCCAAGUCGAAGGUCGGCUCCAAGGACAACGUGAAACAUCAACCCGGUGGCGGUGAUAUCAAGGAUAACAACCCCAAGGAUAUUCAAACGCAAAAACUAGAAAUUAAGGCACAAAGCAAAGUUGGCUCUUUGGAUAAUGUAAAGCACAAGCCCGGUGGCGGUGAAAAGAAGAUUUUCGAUGAUAAGGAUUAUUUGAAAAAUGUUGAACACUCUGUUGCACUGACAACACCACCAACACAGGAAUAUAUAUACACGUUCUAUUAGGCUAGUCAUACGAAACUAAGUGCAUUAAAUUCGAAAUUCGUACACAUGUUACGUCCAUUAGAGUUAUUUAUCGCCUACUGCUAUUACAACUACUAUGUACGAUGCGAUUUUAAAAAAUGACAAAUAGAAAUAUUCGAUCCGAUCCGAUCCGAUACGAUUCGAUUCGAUUUGAUUCGAUCAAGUAAAGCCCCAGUCCACUACCAUCCAUGACGGCUUCUGGCGCUGAUGAAAAUUUAAAUCAACAAAGCUAAAUGCCCGAAAUGCAUGUCGAGCUGAAAAUCUUUUCUUUGCUAAAAAUAUAGGAUUGAAAUGUGAAAUGAACAUUGAACAUUGAACCAGCUAAUUUGAAAUGUACUAUCUAAGCAAAAUCUACACAAAGCAAAAACCAAACGAAAGUUACGCAAUAAUUUCCACACCCCCCACAAAAAAUAUGAUAAAAAAUUAAAAAAAAAAACAACCAAUUCGAUAGAGGUGCAAGCACGCAAUGAGAUGCAGAUACAUCUAUUAUACACCACAUACGUAUUUGGUUUACGAAUCAAAAGUAUAUUUGACUAGUUGAGCAAUGCACUCUUUAUCAUACAGAUACCAGACAUAAUUAUAUAUCUCAAUGUAUUACAAGAACUUCAUAUAUACAUACAAAUAUAUAUAUACAUAAAAGUAUCUAAAUAUUUAAGCAAAUUAUACAAGAUUCGUACGAGUAAACUGUGUGCUUAGUUAAAAAUGUUGAACGACACCCAUUACACUUGACGUCUAAAUGUUGAACGAUUAGAUACUAACUACAUACAUAAAUGCGAUUAUUAAUUAAACGGUUUAGAUACUUUUGCGAAUCAGACCGACCAGAACCACAACCGAACAGACCAGAACAAACCAGAACAGUUGAUUGAAACUUAUAAGCAUAUUUUUACUAUUAAUUUGUAUCUUAUUAGUCAAGCGCAUCAUUCUCACGAUUUAUUUACACCCUGUUACAAAAUGUAAGAACAAUGGCAAAAUUUAAACAUAAUAAACAAACAAAAAAAACGUUUUUUCAUUUACCAAAUCCCGGCGUUGUUGCACUUAGUUCUUUUGAGAUUCAACAGCCACCGACCCACCUUUCGUAUCGUAUCGGUUUGAGAUAGACAAAUUUUUGGAGAUACUUAAGUAUAUUAUUUGGCAAGCCACGCCCACGACGCAAGCGUUCCAACAAAGCCACGCACGAGCACACAUCCUCUUCUAUCUCAU